rnacentral:lncRNA from 1 species
UUACUGUUGAUCUCAAUUUUAGUAAUACUCGACUUAGGGAUGAAUACUUCAAUGGUUCAAAGAGAAUUACUGUGAUAAGACUUUCUGAAAUAUUUCAUAUGUGUCAAGAUCGAGAAGAUAAAUUUAAGUUGGGAUUAGUUAUGUUCGUCGAAUGCGUUUUAAAACCAACUAGAAGAUACAUCGAUUUCAGAACCCUUGGAAUUGUUGAACAACUUGAUGAGUUUUUUAUGUAUUCAUGGGACCGUAAGGCAUACUUUGUUUUAUUAAAUUCAUUACAAGAAUCACAGCUCGAAAGAGUACGAAGAAUACAACAAAAUAACCAAACAGACUGUAAAUAUUCAUUGCAUGGUUAUCCGCUCGCAUUCCAGGUAUUUUUCUUUCAUUGUUUUUUUCAUUACG